rnacentral:rRNA from 1 species
UACGGAGGGUGCAAGCGUUGUCCGGAUUUAUUGGGUUUAAAGGGUACGUAGGCGGGCCUUUAAGUCAGUGGUGAAAGCCCAUAGCUCAACUAUGGAAAUGCCAUUGAUACUGGAGGUCUUGAGUUCAGUUGAGGUAAGCGGAAUUUAUGGUGUAGCGGUGAAAUGCAUAGGUACCAUAAAGAACACCGAUUGCGAAGGCAGCUUACUGGGCUUGAACUGACGCUGAGGAACGACAGCGUGGCCAGCGAGCAGU